ensembl:lncRNA
UGAAGGGGUACCCAUGAAUAUUUUAAUAUUUCUGUCCCGUCUCGCAUUGCUUUUUGUCAAGCGCCCAUCUGACUGGUGGCCACUCAAUGAAAGAAGAGAGAGAAGGAGGAAGAAGAAUGUGAAGCUAGAGGGAUGGAAGCUUCCAGAAUCUUGUUUCUUCUCCUUUGUAGCACCAUUGUAAGUUCCAUAGAAGGAAUGGAGGAGUGAAAGUGUUGACAUUUAAAGGUGAGGGAGGCAAUGAUGGAGGCAAACCAGGAUGUGUUUUGGUUGUAAGCGUUAGGAAAAGACUUCCUGUUUUUCACUUUUUUUUCAUUCUUCAGGCAACAAAGGAUUGGGAGAGAGGAAAUAACUUCUGGAAUCCAGUCGGAGAAAAUCACCACCAUCUGACAGGAGGGAAAUUGUUCCUGAACCUCGGUGACAACCCUUAAGUGUAGAUCUGUGAGAGAUGUUUUGCUUUCACCAGGAGAAAAAGAAAUAAGUGCAGAGGAGUGACAUUUUACAUCCAUCUAACAGGCUCCCAGACUGGUGAUGUCACGUGAGCGGCUGCCUGUGAUUGGUUCAUUUGGGACUAAAGCAGUCAAACCACCUCUCUUCUCCCCGGCUCUCCAGCGCCCCCACCAGACCAAUCGCCGAAAACUUAAGUGCCACCACCAGACGUCACCCUCGUCCUCCUCUCACCCUCAUCCAGGUCCUUCCUCCAUCCUCCUCUCCGACAGCACCAUGACGCCAUGGGGAGGCCUGGAUCACUCCGAAUCGUCCUUCACCUCCAUUCCUCCAGCGCCUCCUCCACCUCCUCUGUCCACACCAUCCACGCCUUAUCGGGGGAGACAGGAGGAGGAUGAGGAAAGUUCUGGUUCAAGUUUUAACUCUGAAAUUCCGUCUCCACCUCUGGUGAUCCCUCAGAACAGUGCAGCCGGUUUGGGUGGAGAUUUGCGUUUGAGGAGGAGAGUUUUACCUCCUCGUCAGGUUCCUCGUCCUCCUCGCCUCCCACCGCUGCGUCCCAUCUCCAACCUCAGUUUCUCCCGGAGCUUCACGUUCUCCUUCUUCGAGCUGCCGCUGCAUCAGAGUCCUCGCUGCCGGGCCGAACGCAUCAAAAACCUCCUGCUGCUUCUGAAACAAAUACACUUCUGAAGACUCUGCU